rnacentral:rRNA from 1 species
UACGUAGGCAGCGAGCGUUGUUCGGAGUUACUGGGCGUAAAGGGUGUGUAGGCGGUUGUUUAAGUUUGGUGUGAAAUCUCCCGGCUCAACUGGGAGGGUGCGCCGAAUACUGAAUGACUCGAGUGCGGGAGAGGAAAGUGGAAUUCCUGGUGUAGCGGUGAAAUGCGUAGAUAUCAGGAGGAACACCGGUGGCGAAGGCGGCGUUCUGGACUGCAACUGACACUGAUGAACGAAAGCCAGGGGAGCAAACGGG